rnacentral:rRNA from 1 species
AGAGUUUGAUCAUGGCUCAGGAUAAACGCUGGCGGCGUGCCUAACACAUGCAAGUCGAACGUCCUUAGCAAUAAGGGAGUGGCGGACGGGUGAGUACCACGUGGGUCAUCUACCUCCGGGUGAGGAAUACCGGCGAGAAAUCGCCGACAAUACCGCAUAGCUUCGGCAACGAAGAAAGCCGGAAACGGCGCCGGGAGAUG